rnacentral:rRNA from 1 species
CGGGACACGUGGUAUCCUGUCUGAAUAUGGGGGGACCAUCCUCCAAGGCUAAAUACUCCUGACUGACCGAUAGUGAACCAGUACCGUGAGGGAAAGGCGAAAAGAACCCCGGCGAGGGGAGUGAAAAAGAACCUGAAACCGUGUACGUACAAGCAGUGGGAGCACGCUUAGGCGUGUGACUGCGUACCUUUUGUAUAAUGGGUCAGCGACUUAUAUUCUGUAGCAAGGUUAACCGAAUAGGGGAGCCGAAGGGAAACCGAGUCUUAACUGGGCGUUAAGUUGCAGGGUAUAGACCCGAAACCCGGUGAUCUAGCCAUGGGCAGGUUGAAGGUUGGGUAACACUAACUGGAGGACCGAACCGACUAAUGUUGAAAAAUUAGCGGAUGACUUGUGGCUGGGGGUGAAAGGCCAAUCAAACCGGGAGAUAGCUGGUUCUCCCCGAAAGCUAUUUAGGUAGCGCCUCGUGAAUUCAUCUCCGGGGGUAGAGCACUGUUUCGGCAAGGGGGUCAUCCCGACUUACCAACCCGAUGCAAACUGCGAAUACCGGAGAAUGUUAUCACGGGAGACACACGGCGGGUGCUAACGUCCGUCGUGAAGAGGGAAACAACCCAGACCGCCAGCUAAGGUCCCAAAGUCAUGGUUAAGUGGGAAACGAUGUGGGAAGGCCCAGACAGCCAGGAUGUUGGCUUAGAAGCAGCCAUCAUUUAAAGAAAGCGUAAUAGCUCACUGGUCGAGUCGGCCUGCGCGGAAGAUGUAACGGGGCUAAACCAUGCACCGAAGCUGCGGCAGCGACGCUGAUGCGUUGUUGGGUAGGGGAGCGUUCUGUAAGCCUGCGAAGGUGUGCUGUGAGGCAUGCUGGAGGUAUCAGAAGUGCGAAUGCUGACAUAAGUAACGAUAAAGCGGGUGAAAAGCCCGCUCGCCGGAAGACCAAGGGUUCCUGUCCAACGUUAAUCGGGGCAGGGUGAGUCGACCCCUAAGGCGAGGCCGAAAGGCGUAGUCGAUGGGAAACAGGUUAAUAUUCCUGUACUUGGUGUUACUGCGAAGGGGGGACGGAGAAGGCUAUGUUGGCCGGGCGACGGUUGUCCCGGUUUAAGCGUGUAGGCUGGUUUUCCAGGCAAAUCCGGAAAAUCAAGGCUGAGGCGUGAUGACGAGGCACUACGGUGCUGAAGCAACAAAUGCCCUGCUUCCAGGAAAAGCCUCUAAGCAUCAGGUAACAUCAAAUCGUACCCCAAACCGACACAGGUGGUCAGGUAGAGAAUACCAAGGCGCUUGAGAGAACUCGGGUGAAGGAACUAGGCAAAAUGGUGCCGUAACUUCGGGAGAAGGCACGCUGAUAUGUAGGUGAAGCGACUUGCUCGUGGAGCUGAAAUCAGUCGAAGAUACCAGCUGGCUGCAACUGUUUAUUAAAAACACAGCACUGUGCAAACACGAAAGUGGACGUAUACGGUGUGACGCCUGCCCGGUGCCGGAAGGUUAAUUGAUGGGGUCAGCGCAAGCGAAGCUCUUGAUCGAAGCCCCGGUAAACGGCGGCCGUAACUAUAACGGUCCUAAGGUAGCGAAAUUCCUUGUCGGGUAAGUUCCGACCUGCACGAAUGGCGUAAUGAUGGCCAGGCUGUCUCCACCCGAGACUCAGUGAAAUUGAACUCGCUGUGAAGAUGCAGUGUACCCGCGGCAAGACGGAAAGACCCCGUGAACCUUUACUAUAGCUUGACACUGAACAUUGAGCCUUGAUGUGUAGGAUAGGUGGGAGGCUUUGAAGUGUGGACGCCAGUCUGCAUGGAGCCGACCUUGAAAUACCACCCUUUAAUGUUUGAUGUUCUAACGUGGACCCGUGAUCCGGGUUGCGGACAGUGUCUGGUGGGUAGUUUGACUGGGGCGGUCUCCUCCUAAAGAGUAACGGAGGAGCACGAAGGUUGGCUAAUCCUGGUCGGACAUCAGGAGGUUAGUGCAAUGGCAUAAGCCAGCUUGACUGCGAGCGUGACGGCGCGAGCAGGUGCGAAAGCAGGUCAUAGUGAUCCGGUGGUUCUGAAUGGAAGGGCCAUCGCUCAACGGAUAAAAGGUACUCCGGGGAUAACAGGCUGAUACCGCCCAAGAGUUCAUAUCGACGGCGGUGUUUGGCACCUCGAUGUCGGCUCAUCACAUCCUGGGGCUGAAGUAGGUCCCAAGGGUAUGGCUGUUCGCCAUUUAAAGUGGUACGCGAGCUGGGUUUAGAACGUCGUGAGACAGUUCGGUCCCUAUCUGCCGUGGGCGCUGGAGAACUGAGGGGGGCUGCUCCUAGUACGAGAGGACCGGAGUGGACGCAUCACUGGUGUUCGGGUUGUCAUGCCAAUGGCACUGCCCGGUAGCUAAAUGCGGAAGAGAUAAGUGCUGAAAGCAUCUAAGCACGAAACUUGCCCCGAGAUGAGUUCUCCCUGACUCCUUGAGAGUCCUGAAGGAACGUUGAAGACGACGACGUUGAUAGGCCGGGUGUGUAAG